rnacentral:rRNA from 1 species
GCGGAGGGAUCAUUACCGAGUUAUACAACUCAUCAACCCUGUGAACAUACCUAAAACGUUGCUUCGGCGGGAACAGACGGCCCCGUAACACGGGCCGCCCCCGCCAGAGGACCCCCUAACUCUGUUUCUAUUAUGUUUCUUCUGAGUAAAACAAGCAAAUAAAUUAAAACUUUCAACAACGGAUCUCUUGGCUCUGGCAUCGAUGAAGAACGCAGCGAAAUGCGAUAAGUAAUGUGAAUUGCAGAAUUCAGUGAAUCAUCGAAUCUUUGAACGCACAUUGCGCCCGCCAGUAUUCUGGCGGGCAUGCCUGUUCGAGCGUCAUUACAACCCUCAGGCCCCCGGGCCUGGCGUUGGGGAUCGGCGAGGCGCCCCCUGCGGACACACGCCGUCCCCCAAAUACAGUGGCGGUCCCGCCGCAGCUUCCAUUGCGUAGUAGCUAACACCUCGCAACUGGAGAGCGGCGCGGCCACGCCGUAAAACACCCAACUUCUGAAUGUUGACCUCGGAUCAGGUAGGAAUACCCGCUG